GUUCCGCCUCCUCAGGCUCCCCGAACCGCUGUGGCCACACCCCAUUCUUUGACCGCCCCCACCGUGGAGGACCCGCCCUUCCGCCUCCGUACCCCCCGGCGUACCCCAGCCGAAGCUGCUAGUGUACCCCUUUCCCCCGCCUCGGCACCCGCAGCGUACCGCAUCUCUCCGCGUUUGCGCACCGCGUACUCUUGGGGUGCCGCACCCCUCCCCGCACCCCAGGCCUACCCCGCCCCUCUGCACCCCGCACUCCCGCAGACCUCACCUCUCCCCGCCCCCACACGCCCGGAGCACCGCGCCACGUACUUCUAGCCUACCCCACGGUUCCCCGCACCCCUCCGUACCCCUCCGUACCCAGCCGCUCCCCCACCUCGGUUCCCCCAAGUGCCGCGCUCCUCCAUCAACGACUGCCGCCUCCCUAAUGGUUCCCUCCUGCCAACCUUCCACCAUGUGCCCUCCUGACCCCUGCCGUGAGCCCCCCUCAGCCCACUCCUUGCCCGCAGAGCCCCGGGAGGGGAGAGGGGCAGCGUCGUCCGGCUCACGGCCCCCCUUGGGGUGUGGUCCGCGCGGCGUCGAGGGAGCGGUGGUGACCUUUUCCAGAGCCCAGGAGGUGCAGACACGCAGCCUGUGGGGCUGGAGAUGGACCGCCCGAAGCACUUGUCUAAUGCCCCCGUGGGGAAGAAGCCCAGACUGCCCUUGCCCCGAGAGCACGGGCAGCUCUCUCCCGCUCUGAGCCCGACUGUGGCCUGGGACCAGCCCGGUGCCCAGGGCGAAAGGCAGCAGCUGCAGACGCAGGACUGGGAGUCGGGAAGGGAGGAUGCUUGAACCACAGAAACGUAUUGUCUCAAAGUCUGGAGGCUGGAAGUUCAAAGCCCAGUGUCAGCCGGGCUGGUUCCUUUUCCAGGCUUCCUCCUCGGCUUGUAGCUGACCCUCUUCUCUGUGUCCUUCACAUCUCCUUCCCUGUGUGUGUGUCUCUGGGUCCUGAUGUGCACUUUGGGGGGUUUGGUUUUGGUUUUGCUAAUUAUUUCUAAGUGUAUGGCUCAGCAGCAUGAAGUAUAUUCACGUUGUUGGAAA